GAUGAACGCUGGCGGCGUGCCUAAUACAUGCAAGUCGAGCGAACAGACGAGGAGCUUGCUCCUCUGACGUUAGCGGCGGACGGGUGAGUAACACGUGGAUAACCUACCUAUAAGACUGGGAUAACUUCGGGAAACCGGAGCUAAUACCGGAUAAUAUAUUGAACCGCAUGGUUCAAUAGUGAAAGACGGUUUUGCUGUCACUUAUAGAUGGAUCCGCGCCGCAUUAGCUAGUUGGUAAGGUAACGGCUUACCAAGGCGACGAUGCGUAGCCGACCUGAGAGGGUGAUCGGCCACACUGAGACUGAGCCACGGUCCAGACUCCUACGGGAGGCAGCAGUAGGGAAUCUUCCGCAAUGGGCGAAAGCCUGACGGAGCAACGCCGCGUGAGUGAUGAAGGUCUUCGGAUCGUAAAACUCUGUUAUUAGGGAAGAACAAAUGUGUAAGUAACUAUGCACGUCUUGACGGUACCUAAUCAGAAAGCCACGGCUAACUACGUG
rnacentral:rRNA from 1 species